ACCCGUUGUAUCAUAAUCUUUUCUGUUUUUCCUACAUUUUAUUAAAAUAACUAGGUGCAUAGAAAAUUAAAAACUACACUCUUACAAUACAAAAUUUUCUGUCAGAAAAGAUGCUAUACUUGAAAUUUGGUGCGAAAUUUUUGCAAGAAAAAAAGAAAAAAAAAGAUAUAAACAUCUUAGUAAAACCAAUAGCUCCAUCGCUACGCUCGGAAUCUAAAAUUGUAAUAAAAUCGUUAACGUCAUGAAUAUUUUGUCAUAUCAAAUGAAAACAACUUGAAAAAUGACCAUAGUGAAAACAACCAGAUUAAAAACGGAAUAAACAAAUUCUCAUGGCAUUUGUGGAUUAAUUCCACAUUUUUGUUGAAAAACUGUUAACAGACAGAAAAUAAAAAAGUAAAUAUGUACCAUAAUAAAACCAACACAUUUCUUGCUUCACUUAGAAUAUACAAGUUAGGACAAUUUUGACUUAACUCAUAACUUUUAAUUUUUUAUUAACUUAGUAAUUUUUAGAUUCUGAAAGAAAUGAGGAAUGUUUUGGUUGUGCAAUGAUGUUUUUUAUUUCAAUGUUUUAUCUGUGAGCAAUUUUUCUACCUGAAAUCUUGCUCUGGUGCACUUUUUCUUAAAAAAGUUACUCUACGGGUACAAUUAUUAGACCAAAUAGAAAUGUUUGAUAUGUAACAGGAGGUUCAUUAUAAAUUAUAUAAUUUAUAUAUACUCAGUGUUCAAUAAGAAAAAGUUGAAUUUAAUGGAGCAUUUUUUUUUUUCUAUAUAAGAAAUUUAAUAUAAAAAUUUGAUAAAAAAUCGUAAAUAUUAUGGCCUUUCAAAUCGAGUAUAACCGAUUUUCUCUUAGAAUUAUUGUUCGUUGGCGAUAAUUAAUCAUUGCAUACAGAUUUAUAUUAAGUUCCCCUUCUAUAUCUACCUAACUUCUCACCUACUACAGUAGCUCACCCAUCGAGCGAAGUACAUCCGUUUUUUUUGAAGAGUCAUAGUUUUUAAAGUUUUUUUUUGAAAUCCAAGACUUUAUGUGAAAUUCCGCAUUUAAACGAGUAUAAUAUUAUAAUAUUCACGGAAUUAACUCCCGUGUUUAAUAUAGAUCGUCCACUAUUUACAGAAAAUUAAAAAUUGCAGGUUUAAUUAUUUUCACCAUUAUAAUGACAAUUUUACAAAACAAUACACUUAAUUCAUGUUAAUAAGUUAAUAUCAAUGGUUCAAAUAUAAUUUUUAACGUAAUAUUUAUUUAAAUAAUAAAACAAUUAACUUUUUAACGGUAUUAACUCGUUAAGUUUUUUCCAAUCGACUUUACCACCAGAUAUUCUUCCUUUCUCGCCAACUUGUGUCUAUGCACUGUAAACAAAUACUUCUCAAUACGAUUUGGUGAAAAACAAUAAUUUUAUACGAAAACUCAAUAUAAUAAUUUACUAUGAAACGUAAAAGUUCACCAUCGUUUAUC